AAUUUUUCUAAAAUAAAUUAAGAUACUAUAAUUGUCUUAUAGUACAAAACAGUUGCACCUACAUGGUAAUUUAAAAAGUUUAAACAUGGUUAUUUUCAUAGUUUUUCGAGCAGUAGAAUUCUAAACCACAUUCUUUGCUCUUCAGAUUUGGAAACCUAACCAGCUUUCUCAAGCCCUCCAACGAUAAGAUCGAUUCUUGAAACGGUGUCCAUGAUUCGGCCUUUCCUCGAUUCCCCAUCUUUAGAUCUGGAAUCCUUUAUUGAAAAAAUAAAAGGAAAGGACAAAAUUGAAUCAGCAAAUAGAAAUACAGAUGGGACACUAAGGAAAGUAUGAGGAAAUAUAUUAAAAGCACAUUUAUUUAACUUAGUCAAACUAGAGUUCCUCGUAUUUCUAGGGUUUUCACACAGUUACUCACAAAAAUAAAAUUAUUUAUCUUUAUUUAUCUAUUUAUUUUCCUACCCAUAAACUAAUUACAUAUUUCUACAAUAAUAGAUUUUUUAUGGGAAAUUUUUUCUUUAUUCUCCAAUUCCUUUAUAUUUCUAUGCUUCUUUUCUUUUCUUUUUUAUUUUUUUCUUUUCUCCUUUUCUUUUUUCUCGUUUACUUCUUAUUUUCUUCUUUUUUCUUUUUCUAAUUUCAUUUAACUUCUUUUUUAUAUUCUUUUUUCUUCAUAAUCUAAUUUCAUUUACUGUUCUCACUAUUUUUUAUUAUUUUUUUAAUAUUAUUACUAAAUAAAAAUCAAAUAGUGUACCAAUUAAAUGUAGCCAAUACAACCAAAUAAAUAUUAACUAACAUAUGAUACCAGUAUAGUAUAUAACUAUAUCAACAGGAUAUACAAUUCUAUGCUUAUUAAAUUAAAAUAAUAUUAGUUGUCAAUAAAAAAAUUUAAAAAUUCUAAAAGGAUCUAAUUGUAAGAGUAUACUAUUACGUUAUAUAGCAUUUUAUUUUUAUUUUUGCAUUUUUAAUUUGUCCCUCACGCUGGGUAAAAACAUAAAAGAAAUUAAAAGGGAAAAGGCAAUUAAAUUUACGGGUAAUAAAUAAACUAUUAUAGUAUAUUGUAUACUAUUACAGCAUAUUGUUACAAUAUCUUGCAUAUUAUACAAUAUACCAUAACAAUAUAUUAUAUACUAUAAUAGUAUAUUAUUGCAUUAUAACUAUAUACUCCUAUAGUAUAUUAGUAUACUGUAGCAGUAUACUGUUUUGUAAACUAUAAUAUGCACUGUUGCAGUAUAGCUAUAUACUCCUACAGCAUAUUGUAUGCCGUAGCGGCAUACUGUAGCUGUUUUCUUCGAUUUUAAACUGAAAAUUUCAAUCUCAAUCACCUCAAAUCAGCUCCAAAUGCUAUCAAAUUUUAAUAUGAACUUCCAAAGAUUAUUAUAAGCAAUAUUUAACAGCGCCCACUUUGAAUCAAACAAGAAAUCUUCAAAAAUAAAAUUGAAUUUCAAGCCCAACAAUGGUGGAUAAUGGAAAAUAUUAGCAUGGGACCAGAGACGUAAAUGACUAGAGACUUCUGUAAAUGCCAUACCCACAAGUAUUAUUACUGCUAGACAAAACUAAGGAUAUUCUUUUGGAGUUUGAAUCUCUAUUUCACAACUUGAGGUUCUUUUUCAAGAUUCCUUAUUUGCGGAAACUAUUUCAUUAAAGUUCGUACUCAACAACUAAAGCCCUCAAAUAUUUAAUUGCAUGGCAGAAAAAAAAUUAUGAGGUUGCUGGACAAGAUAAUAGAGAAAAGAAGAAAAUCCAAAGAAAAGUUUGAUGAUUUUCUAUCUUGGCUUUUGUUUGCAGGUUGCGGCUGAAAAAUUAACGGGUAAUUAAUUUGGACCCCAUGGGUAGGAAUACUAAAGCUCAGCUUUUGUUUGCAGGGUGCGGCUAGAAAAUUAGCGAGUAAUUAAUUUGGGUCUCAUGGGUAGGAAUAGUAAAUAGUUUGGGCAUGGGCAUUAAAGGAUAAAAAAAGAAACUACAGAAUAUUACCUCUACUCCAGUCCGUUAGGAUGAGAGAAUCACCAGUGACCAAUCAUGACUCUGAGCUCUCAGCAGAAACAAUU
rnacentral:lncRNA from 1 species